CAGGGGGAGGAGCCGAAGCGGACGCCGCCGGGAGCGUGCGUCGUGACGUCAUCACAAGAACUCUUAUAUGCGGGAGCCCAGGCACCAUAUUGUCUUUUCGAGGUGGGAGCCGACUGUUGUGAGGUAUGGUGCUGGGUGCAGAUGCAAUGUGGCUCUCGAUAGCACCUUAUGGGCAGUUGUGUCCCAAAGGAGGGAUGACAAUAGCUACUGAAAUCCUAAAGAGCAAGCCUAACUCAAGCCAUUGGCAUACAGGUGAGAAACCUCUAUAUUGUACUUCUCACUUUUUGAGGGAUUAGAAAAUAGCCAAAUGAAUGAUUAUAUAUAUAUUAGUGUUUUUCUCCCCACUUUUCAAAUGAGAGUUUUGCUCUCAUAUUGAUACUAAAUUUAAUACUGAGGAAAACGUGAAACCAGAUACUAUGAUGGCUGCAUAGUUCAGCAGAUUGAAUCAUGAAGAAAUGUACUGUGUGUCUGAUGUGUCUGGGGUGGUUGCGGUUUGCUGUUACUAGUUAAGCAGUGUACCACCAAUCUACCAUUAAAAUAUUCUUUACUGACAAUUUUGUAUUAAAAUUACAGGCAUUAGAAAACUAGAAGUUGAAAUGGUGGAGUCCAACUUGUCUGGACCAGCUUUAUGUUUCUGGUGCCGAUGUUUGCAGACCUUUUAAAGGUAUGGAGAGUCGACUUGACUACACCGUGUGGAGCAAGUUUUAAAGAAGCAAAGGACUCAGAAUUCAUGCUUGAAGAAAUGCAGGCAGACCUGUUAUCCUAAACUAGGGUUUUUAAUGACCACAGCAAGCAAGCAUGUAGCUUACCGCUUGAAAGGGUCUUGCCUCACCCAAGCUGGAGUGCAGUGGCCCUUUGAGGCUUACUACAGCCUCAGACUUCUGGGCUCAAGUGAUCCUCAGCCUCCCAAUGGUCUUUGUAGACAGCCUGAUGGAGUCUCUGUCUCCAAUUUUAAUAAAUUUUUGCAAUCC